AACAAGAGAGACAGAAACAAGCCGCUCUCGCCCUCUCCCUUUUCCUUGCUUGAAACUCCAAAAUCCACAACUCAGAAUCUCCGAAUUCCUUAACUUUCACAGCAUUUCCUUCCUUUCUCGGAAAAUUCCCAAAUGGGUUAGUCAUAAACAUCCUUUAAAUCAAAUGGGUCUGCGUUAAAGCCUCACCAGCAUGGAGUGGCUUAGCCUGUGAUAGACUCUGCUGGUUUUUAUUGCUUUCGGAUAUGGCUGUCAAAACUGGCUCUUCGUUUUCUUGUUUGGUCGCUUCUGUUUCUUCUCCUUUACAAUCGAGGAGAAGUUCCUGGUUGAGCUUAUCAGAAGGAUUUUAUGAGAUUCGGAAACAUGAUUUUCAGCUAAAAUAUGCUAAAGGCAAGUCAUGUCAGUGCAUAGGUGGAAAGCUGAAGUCAAAUGGAAAGUUCCCGAAGGGGCAACAUCUUCUCUGUGCUACUGCUAUUUCUGAAGAACAGACACAACAUAGUGAGAUCGAACCAGAUCCAUCAAGGGUAGGAAAUCAUCUUCCUCUUGCUGAAGAUGUUUCUCCUGCAAGCAGCUCAUAUAUCCAUUUCAAGGGAACUGGUGGAAAACCCGGUUUACUCUCAUUUUAUAACCGUCCAUAUAAAGGAGAGGACAAAGUCCUUAUUUCCAGCCCACAGAAGAGUCAGAACAACCUACUCUGGUUUAUUGGUCCAUCUGUCCUUGUAGCCUCUUUCAUUUUCCCCUCACUUUAUAUGCGCAGAAUGCUCUCCACUGUAUUUGAGGACUCUUUGUUGACAGAUUUCCUCAUACUGUUCUUUACUGAAGCUCUUUUCUACUGUGGAGUUGCUGUAUUUCUUUUACUAAUUGACCGCUUAAGGAGACCUAUCAUGCCAGAUUCUGCUACAGGCAUGGACAGAACCCUGGCUUCUCAUCUAGGUCAGCGAAUCUCUUCUGUAGCUGCCCUAGUGCUUAGUCUAAUCAUUCCUAUGGUGACAAUGGGCUUGGUCUGGCCGUGGACUGGUCCAGCAGCGUCUGCUACUCUUGCUCCAUACCUCGUCGGUAUUGUUGUCCAGUUUGCAUUUGAGCAGUAUGCGAGAUAUAAGAAGUCACCUUCAUCUGCUGUCAUUCCAAUUAUCUUUCAGGUUUAUAGAUUGCACCAACUGAACAGAGCAGCACAACUGGUGACAGCUUUGUCAUUUACAGUUAGAGGAGCUGAGAUGACCUCACACAACUUGGCAAUAAACAGCUCUCUGAGUACUCUUCUCAAUGUCCUCCAAGUUCUUGGGGUCAUUUGCAUUUGGUCUCUCUCAAGCUUCCUCAUGCGGUUCUUCCCUUCUACUGCCAUGACUGUGCAGUGAGACACGUGUUUCAGGAAAAAUUAUCAUCUCACAUAACAGGGAACAAUCGCUGCAGGUGUUCUUUUUUCAGAAUAUCUGAUAUCACCUCACUACCUGACGCAACCUUACUCGCAUGUUGGAUUAGACUUCAUACUUGCUCUCAAGUGGCAGCUGCAUGGAAGAUUAUUCAUUUGUGCAUUAUGUGGUGCAUUUGGUUGGAAAUGAAUGAGAGGUGUUUUCAUAAUAGGGAAUGCAAUGUAGAAGAACUUUGGAAAUUUUUUGUGUUCCUUGUUUAGUUGGUCUUCAACUAUUGUACUUAAUGGAGGGGCUGUCCAUGAGUUGUUGUCCUCGUUUUUCUAGUAUUAGAAUGUAUUUAGGCGUUUCUUUUGUAUACAUCCUCUGUAAAUGGAUUUCACCUAUUGCAUUUGAUGAAUAAAAUUUGUACACAUCAAAAAAA